rnacentral:tRNA from 5 species
AGGGUAGUAGUUCAGUCGGUAGAACGUCGGUCUCCAAAACCGAAUGUCGUGGGUUCAAGUCCUGCCUACCCUG